rnacentral:rRNA from 1 species
ACGUAGACCCGUGAACCGGGUUGCGGACAGUGUCUGGUGGGUAGUUUGACUGGGGCGGUCUCCUCCUAAAGCGUAACGGAGGAGCACGAAGGUUGGCUAAUCCUGGUCGGACAUCAGGAGGUUAGUGCAAUGGCAUAAGCCAGCUUGACUGCGAGCGUGACGGCGCGAGCAGGUGCGAAAGCAGGUCAUAGUGAUCCGGUGGUUCUGAAUGGAAGGGCCAUCGCUCAACGGAUAAAAGGUACUCCGGGGAUAACAGGCUGAUACCGCCCAAGAGUUCAUAUCGACGGCGGUGUUUGGCACCUCGAUGUCGGCUCAUCACAUCCUGGGGCUGAAGUAGGUCCCAAGGGUAUGGCUGUUCGCCAUUUAAAGUGGUACGCGAGCUGGGUUUAGAACGUCGUGAGACAGUUCGGUCCCUAUCUGCCGUGGGCGCUGGAGAACUGAGGGGGGCUGCUCCUAGUACGAGAGGACCGGAGUGGACGCAUCACUGGUGUUCGGGUUGUCAUGCCAAUGGCACUGCCCGGUAGCUAAAUGCGGAAGAGAUAAGUGCUGAAAGCAUCUAAGCACGAAACUUGCCCCG